rnacentral:rRNA from 1 species
CCUACGGGAGGCAGCAGUGAGGAAUCUUGGUCAAUGGACGGGAGUCUGAACGAGCAACGUCGCGUGAAGGAUGAAUGCUCUCUGGGCUGUAAACUUUUUUUAUAAAGGAGUAAAACGAGGAACGUGUGCAUUUUAGACUGUAACUUAUGCUUAAGGAUCGGCUAACUCUGUGUCAGUAGCCGCGGUAAUACGGAGGAUUCGAGCGUUAGCCGGAUUUAUUGGGUUUAAAGGGAACGUAGAUGGGUUGUUAAGUCUGUUGUGAAAGUUUGCGGCUCAACCGUAAGAUUGCUAUUGAUACUGUCAAACUUGAGUACAGUAGAGGUAGGCGGAAUUCGAUGUGUAGCGGUGAAAUGCGUAGAUAUCACGAGGAACCCCGAUUGCGAAGGCAGCUUUCUAAACUGUAACUGACAUUGAUGCUCGAAAGUGUGGGGAUCAAACAGGAUUAGAUACCCCUGUAGUC